UCUAUGUGUAACCAUAAGUUUUUGCGUUUAAUUUUAAUCGUCUGUCUUAUUUAAAAUAUUUUUAUAAUUAGUAUUUUAUACUUAACUUAUAUUUUUAAUUUUUUUAAAAAAAAAAUUAAAUAAGACGGACGGUCAAAGUUGUGCACAGAAAAUCAUGACUACACUUAAA
rfam:Oryza sativa (indica cultivar-group) chromosome 3, whole genome shotgun sequence.